rnacentral:lncRNA from 1 species
AAGAGACAGCGCCGCCGGCCGUGGGGAGCGGACGCAGUGAUUUGCUCCCCCUCGUGCAGCAACCCCCACACCCAGCACCAGGCCCCCAGAACUCUCCUUCCAGCUGAACUCCCUGGGAACAAGUCAGUUGGGCUGAUCACUGAACUCACAUUUCUGGACCUGAGGAGCCUGUUCCUCUCACGCCCUCACCUGGCUGAGCCGCAGUAGUUCUUCAGUGGCAAGCUUUAUGUCCUGACCCAGCUAAAGCUGCCAGUUGAAGAACUGUUGCCCUCUGCCCCUGGCUUCGAGGAGGAGGAGGAGCUGCUUUCCCCAUCAUCUGGAAGGUGACAGAAAUGGGCUGGGAAGGUCCGAACAGCAGGGUGGAUGAUACGUUUUGGGCAAGUUGGAGAGCCUUUGCCCAGAUUGGCCCAGCAAGGAGCGGUUUUAGAUUAGAGACACUGGCUGGAUUGAGGAGUAGAAGGCUCAAACAACCCAAGGAAGCUGUGUCUGUUCGAUUUGGUGGGAGGAGAUGUGCAGGGAGCUGUAUCUUGUCCUCCGCUUGUGAAAAACUCAAGGAUGUGGAGAAGAGUAGACCGUGGAA